UACAUGGUUCGAAUUCUUAUGUGCAGUAGUUUACCUUACGAACAGACACUAGACAGAGCUAAGAAAGUUAGAGAAUGACGUUGCCCUUUUCAGGCCAGUUCUAUUUGCCCUACAAAUGUUAGCAAUUUCCCCAUUACAGUUAUUCCUAUUACAGUGUACGGAAUAUAUGUAUAAUGUCGGUCAAGGUACAAAUGACACGGAGUUAGUUUAAACGCCCGAGGUGCAACAGUCAAAACAACAUCGACCCAGGCAAAUGUACUGAACUGGAAACUUAAUAAAAAGAAAUAGUACAGUCUACUUUAUACCUACCACCCCAAGUUUUGUGCUAUAGCUUUUGUUGUCUUGUUCAUCAAAUGAUUUUGACCAAUAGUAUUUGCAUAGACUGUAGCACAAACUACGUUUUCCAGCACUAGCGUUACUAAUUGGGGGAAUCCAUAUACGUCAGUUUAUUGUUAUUCAUGCUUUGUGACGUUUAUUAUUAUGUGUCUUUAUUUUCGAUUCGGAAGGACAAUUAGUAGUCACACAGCGUUGGUAAGGCCGAUAGAAUGGAAAAUUACGAACAAGCGACGCAUGACGGCCUUAGAAUUAGUUAGGGAGAAUACCGACCGAUGUAGAGAAAUAACCGGGUUUAGUAUACUAAAGAAUUAUUCUGUGUGCCCAAGCGAACAGAAGUCUAGUUACUUAAUGAAUACAGCAUAUCACGCAUGAGAAACGGAAGCAAUACGUUUACUUCGAAGAAAACCUUUCACGCUCUGUUGCGUCACGUCGGAUGACGUCAUCGUUUAUGUCAACUGACGUCACGCCACGUUGGAAUGUGGUCAAAAGCAACAACUCAAAAUCUUUACUAGAUACUUUUCUUAAACCGGGAGAGAACUUUAACUAUGGGCCUAUGAUCAACUUCACGCCUUUGGCUGUGCUUAUAGCGGUUGCCGGUAUCAUGAUAUUAUGCGCGUCAUACGCUAGUGUUAUAAACUGGGUAGACAGAAAACACCAGCGCGCAAGAAGGCGGUUACGCUCAGGCUCAUUUGGAUCAUCACAUACACCUUGUACUUCAAGGGACGACGAGGAUCAUGUAUUUCACGCAUGAAAAAUCGUCUAUGUUUAAAUAACUUGACUUUUGUAUGCCUGUCUUUUUAAAACUUUUUACCUGAAUCGGUCUCGGUAACCUGUAAGACAAAGCAAUAUUUCCUCUGUUCUAUUUUCUCUUUGACUCUUUUUAAUAGUACCAUUUUGAAAAGAAGCUUUACACUUUACAGUUCAGUUUAUGUUUGUCGUUUUAGGCAAUUUCCCCUGGAAUCCAGGUCAAAACGCGAUGCGUACGUUUGUGUGCUGUGCACACUACAUUUUAACUUGCUCGUUUAACUUUUUAAUGUACAUUUUUAAUAUUUAUUCCACACAACGGUAAAAUAACGUGAGCGUUUUUACCAGUUUUGAAUCGCAGUUAGUUAUGCAUUCACGCCUACAGUUUUCUAUGUAUGUGUUACUGUAUUUAAAAGUGACCUUUUCAUGCCAUUUCUUUAGUUCCAAACUAAUUAAAAAUUUUAGCUAAAUUGUGCGUAUGUCCACAAGUUGCAGUUUUUUUCACCGCACUAAAAUAUAAACAAAGACGACCAAA